rnacentral:rRNA from 1 species
AAUAUUGCACAAUGGGCGCAAGCGUGAUGCAGCCAUGCCGCGUGUAUGAAGAAGGCCUUCGGGUUGUAAAGUACUUUCAGUCGUGAGGAAGGCAUUAACGUUAAUAGCGUUAGCGUUUGACGUUAGCGACAGAAGAAGCACCGGCUAACUCCGUGCCAGCAGCCGCGGUAAUACGGAGGGUGCGAGCGUUAAUCGGAAUUACUGGGCGUAAAGCGCAUGCAGGUGGUUCGUUAAGUCAGAUGUGAAAGCCCGGGGCUCAACCUCGGAAUAGCAUUUGAAACUGGCGGACUAGAGUACUGUAGAGGGGGGUAGAAUUUCAGGUGUAGCGGUGAAAUGCGUAGAGAUCUGAAGGAAUACCAGUGGCGAAGGCGGCCCCCUGGACAGAUACUGACACUCAGAUGCGAAAGCGUGGGGAGCAAACAGGAUUAGAUACCCUGGUAGUCCACGCCGUA